CCCACCUCUCCCUGCCUGCGGAAGACGUGAGGGCGGCAUUGUGUGACCAUGGCAACGGCUGAGUUACCGGAAGAAAUGGCCGCCGGACAACAAAUUGCGGUGCAACCGUACAUGUUCGAGCCGGAGUCCGACCCAGAACAACAAGAGGCUCCAGAAGAAGUUCAGCAGCCAAGAAUGAACAUGGAUGUUUCUCAGUGGUGUUCCUGUGGCAAUUGUGAACAAGUACCUACAGAGCCCGAGAAUAUCUGCUGUAUGGAAAUACCACAGGUAAGUGUGAACACUGGGCAAACAAGGUUGUUAUUUUGCAGUCUCUUUUCUUUAAUCCAUUGUCACUCACUUACCUUUCAUGACUUCUAGGUUACACAAAGACUAAGUUACAGCAGCUUCCUGAGCAACCAUCAUGCAUGCUGGACCAUCCUGGCCUAGAACCUGUCUGCCUGAAUGUGUUUUCACUGCAGAAUGCACUGAACAUUUAUCGGGCAGACUAAGGACCUUUACGUCUGAGGGGAAUAGUGCACCAAUAUAGAUACCUAGCCUACAGGAGCUUUGUAAGCUGAGCUGCCUGCCUGUGUGGUGCUGAGGAUUCAUGCAGAGUUCCCUGACGCUGAAGGACAUUAUGUUAGGUUCAGUCCUGUCCUUGAUUGAACCUUGGCAUGUA